rnacentral:tRNA from 1 species
GAGGGGAUAGCUCAGUGGUAGAGUGUGAGCCUAGCAGGCACGAGGUCCUGGGUUCAAGCCCCAGUUCCUCCG